rnacentral:sRNA from 1 species
CGGAUAUUGGCUUCACGACCGGCAGGUGGGGCAGCACAGGUUCUCCUGGCGUGUCCUGGUGCGGCAGAUGUUCCCUCCCUCAUCUGCAUGCGAUACGCCCUCCUAGCCUCGCUUGUCGAUCGACCGGCGAGGCUUUUU